rnacentral:rRNA from 1 species
CGUGUAGGCGGACGCUCAAGUCAGAUGUGAAAGCCCUGGGCUCAACCCAGGAACUGCAUUUGAAACUGGACGUCUUGAGUGUUGGAGAGGGAAGCGGAAUUCCUGGUGUAGAGGUGAAAUUCGUAGAUAUCAGGAGGAACACCGGCGGCGAAGGCGGCUUCCUGGACAACUACUGACGCUGAGACGCGAAAGCGUGGGGAGCAAACA